rnacentral:rRNA from 1 species
AUUGAACGCUGGCGGCAGGCUUAAUACAUGCAAGUCGUGGGGCAGCAUGGUGUAGCAAUACAUUGAUGGCGACCGGCAAACGGGUGCGGAACACGUACACAACCUUCCUUUUAGUGGGGAAUAGCCCAGAGAAAUUUGGAUUAAUACCCCAUAACAUAUAGAGAUGGCAUCAUCUUAAUAUUAAAGCUUCGGCGCUAGAAGAUGGGUGUGCGGCUGAUUAGGUAGUUGGCGGGGUAACGGCCCACCAAGCCUACGAUCAGUAGCUGAUGUGAGAGCAUGAUCAGCCACACGGGCACUGAGACACGGGCCCGACUCCUACGGGAGGCAGCAGUAAGGAAUAUUGGACAAUGGACGAAAGUCUGAUCCAGCCAUGCCGCGUGAAGGAUUAAGGUCCUCUGGAUUGUAAACUUCUUUUAUUUGGGACGAAAAAAGAUCAUUCUUGAUCACUUGACGGUACCAGAUGAAUAAGCACCGGCUAACUCCGUGCCAGCAGCCGCCGUAACAC